rnacentral:rRNA from 1 species
GACGAACGCCGGCGGCGUGCUUAACACAUGCAAGUCGAGCGGAAAGGCCCUUCGGGGUACUCGAGCGGCGAACGGGUGAGUAACACGUGAGUAACCUGCCCUAGACUUUGGGAUAACCCUCGGAAACGGGGGCUAAUACCGGAUACUCCUUCUAAAUCGCAUGAUUUGGUUGAGAAAGUUUUUCGGUCUGGGAUGGACUCGCGGCCUAUCAGCUUGUUGGUGGGGUAAUGGCCUACCAAGGCGAGGACGGGUAGCCGGCCUGAGAGGGCGACCGGCCACACUGGGACUGAGACACGGCCCAGACUCCUACGGGAGGCAGCAGUGGGGAAUAUUGCACAAUGGGCGGAAGCCUGAUGCAGCGACGCCGCGUGAGGGAUGACGGCCUUCGGGUUGUAAACCUCUUUCAGCAGGGACGAAGCGUAAGUGACGGUACCUGCAGAAGAAGCGCCGGCCAACUACGUG